rnacentral:misc_RNA from 1 species
AAUCACAUCCCGUACGCGGGGUCUUGGGGCUCGCCUACUCGGCGGCUCUUAAAUCCAGUGGCGGCGCCAUCUGGCUCUAAGCGUAGUAAUUCUCCUCGCUAUAGGGUCCUGGUGGAUGCUUGCCAGCAACCCCCCAUUUCUAU